UGCACUAUCUCUCAUUUAAUAAAUUAAUAUGCAUGGAAAAAAUAUUCAAAUAUUAAUAUAAUACUUAAAUCAAGCAGAAUUUGGUUACACAAUUCCAUUAAGGAGGAAGACCACGAUAAGGGACAUAACUCUUUAAAUCAUAGGUUCGUUUGGAACUACCAUAAUAAUUACAUUUGAGCUGCAUCGGAUAGAAAUAUUAAUACAUCUUGUAACCUAUUUUGGUUUAAAAAAAUCUCUAUGGAAAGUCUGUAAAUGUUUGAAAAUUGAGCUGUUAUAAGAAAAUCUACAAAACAUAUCAAAAUUCAUCUUUUAUUUCGUAAUUUUGUUUUUGAAUGUGCCAAAAAUAAUUCAAAGUUUUACAUAUGUAGAUGUAUACAUGUAUAAGGUCGAUUUCUAUCCGACGCAGCUUGUUUAUUGUUAUUAUGAUUCACCUGAAUGCUUUAAUAAUACACAAUUAUGAAACUACAAACAAGUGUAUUACUGAUUUAAGAGUUAUCUCCCUUAGCUGUCUUAGACCUCCACCCUGUAGUCUUGAAGUAAUAUUUUGUAAACAUCUACAUUUGUAAUAUCUAAAUUUUAAGACAUACUACUAUAGUUCCAUGGAAAUGCAUAAAGAGGUUUUGAAAUUGAUGGUCUUAAAUUUCAG
rnacentral:lncRNA from 1 species